GCUGAAACGCCCUUGAGUUCAGAAUUAGCAGGGGAAAGCUUGUCUUCUUCAUCAACAGGGUCAAGUCAUAUUGACAUGAAGAGGAGGAACAGCAAAGCUAUAGAGGAAGGAUUCAGAAGGACCUUCCAAGCUGAAACUGGAAUUAGCAGACAGAAAGAUGGAAGUAGUACUAGUAAUGUUGAUAAUGAAGAGCAGGAUAUAUUAAAGCAGCAGCUUCCAUGGCUCUCUCAGGUCUUGACCCUCAAUAUGACUUAAGUGUCUUUCUCUCUUCCCUUCAAUUUGGUUUGAAAGCAUGAAGCUUUUAUUAUUAUUCUUCUUCUUGUAUACUUUCUCUGGUUAGUUUCCAGAUGGAAGUGUCUCAGGAAUGAUGUCAGUCUGUUUGUGUAAAAAUGACUAGUUGUUUUCCUCUCACCUUACCUAGCAAUUUAGUCAACGACUCUGUCUCGUUGUAACCUGUCUUUCUAGUUUUUGAAAAUCACCUUGGAAUAUGAGGAACAAGAACAGAAUGGCAUCAUACUUACAGACUGUCAUCUAUUUACAACCCAUUAAAGGAUCUUUUAAUUUCGUGAAGAAUCUAAUGACUAUAUUUUAUGGCUGAAAGAGACGAUAUAAACAAGGGAAAGAAAAAGGUUUAGAUCACCAUAUUCUAAACAAACUAGUCAAUGGAGUAGGACAGACAACUAUAAACACACCUUUUAUUUCAAUAUGGAAAUUCUUUCCCAAACCAUUCUGCAAUUUCCUUUUUUCAGAACAAGACCAGUAGUGGGAAAUCCCCGGUUUUUGUUUUCUGCUUCACCUGAAAAGUGAACCACAAGCAUAAACUGAAGUGAAGAAUCCCAUUUCAAGACAAGAAUACUGUGUACAUUGCCUGCUAAGCAAAAUAGAGAAGAAUCUUACUUACCCCACCCGAGCCUUUCCCCAAAUUCAAGCAAGUUGGUUGGUCGGCCACCGUAUGAGCAAUAGAUUCCCCAUGUCAAUAAUCCAAUGGUCCUGUCCUGAAAACUAAAGAAGAAAGAAAGAAAGAAAGAACAAAAGGGAUAAGGAAGGAGCCUGGUGGUACUAGCCUUUAGAUAAAUAGAUAGAUAGAUAUAUAGUACAUAGAUAGAUAAAUAUAAGAAUAUACAAUCUAUAUCUGACCUCUGCAACCAUUAUUGUUUUCUUUAGUAAGAUGAUAAUCUGAAUCAGACAUCAACUAGGGGCAUGCACCCACUUUGUGCAACCCUGUCCCAUGACCUACUUCCUCUACUUUUCCAAUCCCCCUUUUAUCCAAUAAUAAUUCAUACUCUGACCUCAAAAAUAUCAAAG
rnacentral:lncRNA from 1 species